rnacentral:rRNA from 1 species
GAUGAACGCUGGCGGCGUGCUUAACACAUGCAAGUCGAACGGUGAAGGCGGAGCUUGCUCUGCUGGAUCAGUGGCGAACGGGUGAGUAACACGUGAGCAAUCUGCCCCUGACUCUGGGAUAAGCGCUGGAAACGGCGUCUAAUACUGGAUACGAGCUGCGAAGGCAUCUUCAGCAGCUGGAAAGAAUUUCGGUCAGGGAUGAGCUCGCGGCCUAUCAGCUUGUUGGUGAGGUAAUGGCUCACCAAGGCGUCGACGGGUAGCCGGCCUGAGAGGGUGACCGGCCACACUGGGACUGAGACACGGCCCAGACUCCUACGGGAGGCAGCAGUGGGGAAUAUUGCACAAUGGGCGAAAGCCUGAUGCAGCAACUCCGCGUGAGGGACGACGGCCUUCGGGUUGUAAACCUCUUUUAGCAGGGAAGAAGCGAAAGUGACGGUACCUGCAGAAAAAGCGCCGGCUAACUACGUG